rnacentral:rRNA from 1 species
GAUGAACGCUGACAGAAUGCUUAACACAUGCAAGUCAACUGUGGCGGACGGGUGAGUAACGCGUAAAGAACUUGCCUCACAGAUAGGGACAACAUUUGGAAACGAAUGCUAAUACCUGAUACUGUGAGAGAGCUUUGCGUCCCAUUAGCUAGUUGGAGAGGUAACGGCUCACCAAGGCGAUGAUGGGUAGCCGGCCUGAGAGGGUGAUCGGCCACAAGGGGACUGAGGCACGGCCCUUACUCCUUCGGGAGGCAGGAGUGGUGAAUAUUGGCCAAUGGACCAAAGUCUGAUCCAGGAAUUCUGGGUGCACGAUGAAGUUGUCGGAAUGUAAAGUGCUUGCAGUUGGGAAGCGGUACCAACAGAAGAAGUGACGGCUAAAUACGUGCCAGCAGCCGCGGUAAUUC